rnacentral:rRNA from 1 species
UCAAAGAGGGUGACAAUCCCGUGCUUGACGCGACCACCGAUGCUAUGUGUUACGUAAUCCGCGAGGUCGAGUUGUUUGGGAAUGCAGCUCUAAAUGGGUGGUAAAUUCCAUCUAAAGCUAAAUAUUGGCGAGAGACCGAUAGCGAACAAGUACCGUGAGGGAAAGAUGAAAAGCACUUUGGAAAGAGAGUUAAACAGCACGUGAAAUUGUUAAAAAGGGAAACGAUUGAAGUCAGUCGUG